rnacentral:misc_RNA from 1 species
CAACCCUCAAGCUCUGCUUGGUAUUGGGCCUCACCGGCAACGGUGUGCCCUAAAAUCAGUGGCGGUGCCAUCUGGCUCUAAGCGUAGUAAAUCUCUCACUCUAGGUGCCCGGUGGACGCUUGCCAGCAACCCCCAAUUUUUUACA